rnacentral:tRNA from 1 species
GGAGAUGUUACUCAGUGGUAGAGGGCUUGCCUAGCAUGCAUGAGGUUCUGGGUUAAAUCCCCAGCACCA